GGAGUUGGCUAGGCAAUCGCUGCCUCGUCGUUGUGUUCCCCCUUCGGGAGGGGCAGACGGGCGAGGGGGAGGAAAGUCCGGGCUCCACAGGGCAGGGUGCCAGGUAACACCUGGGAGGCGUGAGCCUACGACCAGUGCAGCAGAGAGCAGACCGCCGAUGGCUCCUUCGGGAGCACAGGUAAGGGUGAAAGGGUGCGGUAAGAGCGCACCGCGCGGCUGGCAACAGUUCGCGGCACGGUAAACUCCACCCGGAGCAAGACCAAAUAGGGGUUCAUUGGUGCGGCCCGCACUGAACCCGGGUAGGUUGCUUGAGCCCAGGAGCGAUCCUGGGCCUAGAGGAAUGAUUGUCCACGACAAGACCCGGCUUAUCGGCCAACUCCAACC
rnacentral:RNase_P_RNA from 1 species